ensembl:lncRNA
GGGCCGUCCUUGGGGCUCUCCAAGGGCCCAUCAGAUUGUCUGCUGGAGGAAAGAAAUUGCACUUCACCCAUACCAGCAAUUCGAAGAGAAUCCGGACUGUUUUAACACAGAGGCAAAAACUCAUAUGCCUAUAAGCAAAGGUGAUGCUCAAAAUGAUUGACAGCUGGCAAGGCACAAGCACUGAGAGAUCAGCCUGAAAUCAACACAUCCAUAUUCCAGUGCCCAGAGCCUGGGCCACAGAGACCAGAGAAGGUGACCUUGGAGCCUACUUCAUGAAGAAAAACAGAGCCCUGCCGACAGACCUCCACAAGCUGCUCCCCCACCCCCACAUGCUGGUCAUCGCCUCGGGGCCUGGCCCAUCCUGUGGGCUGUGGUGUCUCCCUCCCCUGGGGCUGCUUGCCCUUCCUG